UACGUAGGGUGCGAGCGUUAAUCGGAAUUACUGGGCGUAAAGCGUGCGCAGGCGGUGAUGUAAGACAGUUGUGAAAGCCCCGGGCUUAACCUGGGAACUGCGCUUGAUACGGAUGGGCUAGAGUUCGGGAGAGGAGAGUGGAAUUCCCAGUGUAGAGGUGAAAUUCGUAGAUAUUGGGAAGAACACCGGUGGCGAAGGCGGCUCUCUGGACCGAGACUGACGCUGAGGCGCGAAAGCGUGGGGAGCAAACAGGGAUUAAGAA
rnacentral:rRNA from 1 species